rnacentral:rRNA from 1 species
AUACGGAGGGUGCAAGCGUUGUUCGGAAUCACUGGGCGUAAAGGGCGCGCAGGCGGUUUGGUAAGUCAGAUGUGGAAGCCCAUGGCUCAACCAUGGAAGUGCAUUUGAAACUGUCAGACUUGAGUACUAGAGGGGAAAGUGGAAUUCCCGGUGUAGAGGUGAAAUUCGUAGAUAUCGGGAGGAAUACCGGUGGCGAAGGCGACUUUCUGGCUAGAUACUGACGCUGAGGCGCGAAAGCGUGGGGAGCAAACAGGAUUAGAAACCCCAGUAGUCC